rnacentral:rRNA from 1 species
UACGUAGGGUGCGAGCGUUGUCCGGAAUUACUGGGCGUAAAGAGCUUGUAGGUGGUUUGUCGCGUUGUUCGUGAAAUCUCACGGCUCAACUGUGAGCGUGCGGGCGAUACGGGCAGACUAGAGUACUGCAGGGGAGACUGGAAUUCCUGGUGUAGCGGUGGAAUGCGCAGAUAUCAGGGAGGAACACCGGUGGCGGAAGGCGGGUCUCUGGGCAGUAACUGACGCUGAGAAGCGGAAAGCGUGGGGAGCGAACAGG